rnacentral:lncRNA from 1 species
GCUCUCUCCAUGAUCCAAUGAAUGUUGACAAUUUGAUCUCUGGUUCCUCUGCCUUUUCUAAACCCAGUUUGUACAUCUAGAGGAUCUGAGCACCCCUAGACUCGAGUCCCCAUCCUUAGUGACCCACAGUGCCGUCCACAGAUGAGCUGGGGUCUCAUCUGCUGGUAGGUAGUUAUGCCCCUUAGAUCCAGGAAUGUCUUGAGACAGAUGGCAGUGGGUUUUGUCUCUGAACGGUGCCAGUGCCGGGGUUGCAUCUGACACUCAGUAGGCAUUUCAUGGCAGGCCACAGGACUCCUGCGCCAUGGGAGGGCACCAUCUCCUCUGGGCAGGUGAGCAGCUGGCCCUCUCACCUCUGCCCACCAAAGCCAGCAGAGGGCAGCAGUGCCCUGCCCUGAGCCGUCGGGCAAAGGGGCGGGUACGGAGGGGCUGGACUGCCCAGGCUGGGCCACCGGGAUGAGGCGGGUUGGGUGCGAUUGCAUUGUGGGGAGGGAGGCCAGGACUCAUUCCUGGCACUGCUAGCUGCUCCUCGGCCCCGGCUAGGAGCCCCGCCCAGGACAAUGCCCCCUACAGCCGUCCUGUGUCCGUCACCACUGCCCCGGGGCAGCUGAACCCAGGAGGUAUGUGCCACGCCACCCAGGAGAUGCCUCUGCUGCUGCUGUCUGCCAGGGGCCCCGAGAUGGCACCCCGGCGUCUGCUCUGUGCCCACCUGCUGCUCAUGCUGCUUCUGCUGUGCCCGCCACCCGCCCCAACCGGGGCGCACCGCUUCUCAGCACCCAACACCACCCUCCACCACUUCCCACAGGCCCGGCUCACAGACAACACCAACCAGCUGCUGCUGGUCAGCGGGCGGGCCCGGGGGGGGGGGGCCUGCGGGCAGGUGCGGCACGGUGCG